rnacentral:lncRNA from 1 species
UUCCGCGAUUCUGUUUUUCAAGCACACAACGAGGAAACAAAAGUAUCCCUUCCGUACGGCUGCUCCGUGUUUGGACCGGGACGCAUCCCCCGGCGCAGAAGGAAAUACUAUCCCAGGGCGACCGCCCCGAGCUGCCCUUCGCCCCCGCCCGUGAGGGCACGGCCCGGCCGCGGGCGCGGCCUCGCCGCCCACACUGCGCAGGCGCGGCCCACGCGGGGCCGCCUCAGACGUGGCACUCGGGCGCGUGAGGCGGCGGGCGCGCGGCCGCAGGGAGCCAAGGACGCGAGCCUGUUUUUGUUUCUACUGUCCUCCUUCUGCUUGCGCACAGUUAACUUUUACAUCUUCACGGAGACGCCAGAGCCUUGCAUAGAUGCUGCGAUCCUCUGAAAAAGGGUGACAGCCUAUUCUGUAAUAGAGGUCAAUUAAAUUCUGCAGCUGUUCCUCAGUGCUGGUGGUGUUCCCCAAGUUAUGGGGUGCAAGGUGAACUAGUGUUGAGACAGGGAGAAAAAAGUUUUCUUGACCCUGUAUAUGAACUCUUACCGUGGUCUGCAUGGUGCAUCCACACCUUCCCCCACGGUAUAAUUCCUGAAAUGCUCAUAAUUCUUCAGGCAACCUUAAAACACUCACUUGUGAUAAUUGGUAUAUAUAUACAUCCAUCCUGAGAAGAGAUUAAAUAUCCUCAGUGCUAAAUAGAAUCUGGAACUGUGUUAAAACUUGUAUUAUUUUGUCUGUGCUUAGAGGUCCUGUCUCACUUCAGCACAACCUCUGUGUGUUUAUACUGUCUGUGGGAAGUUUGACGUGGCAAGAUUUUUUUGUGUGUGUGUGUGUGAGUAAGCUGUGGAGGAAGUAAUUUCCUCUGAAUGCUCUUGCAGCUUAAGAUGUUGGUUGUUGCAGCUGCCUCUAAGUGAAAAUCCCUUCCUUUAUAUAGAUAUAAAAUAUGUAUGUAUGUCUAUUGCUGAUGUGUAGAUAAUUUAAUGUUAAUUUAGUGUCUCUUGGAACAACUGAAGCUCUCACUGCCACGUCUUUUCUGAUGGAGGUGGGGGAAGGAAGAAGCUACUGCUGGCAGCACCCAAGCCUCUGAUUAAACAUUUUUCUUUCUUCUCCCUGUGUUUACCUUGUUAACUAAUAAAUAGAAAACUCCAUAGGAUUAACUCUGGGAA